rfam:Lactobacillus shenzhenensis LY-73 genomic scaffold LY73.Scaffold1, whole genome shotgun sequence.
GGGGGUGUUACGGAUUCGACAUGCGUAGGUGAGUGUGAGUUGCAUUCCGCAGGAGACGCCUGCGUCAUCACCGUCACAGUUAAAUAUAACUGCAAAGCCUCAAAAUUCUUACGCUUUAGCUGCCUAAUAGCAGCCCACUAGCGUGAUCCUUCAUCGCUGUUACCCGGGCGGUGGUCAAGGGUCUCAAAAAUCAACCGGGUUACGAUUCAGCACCACACCUGAGUGCUGGGUAAGAGACGAUCAGGCAUGUCUGUUCGUGCCAGCCCUGACCAACGGCGUUUCGGGCAGACGAGAAAAUAAGUAGCUGGCCUAUGAAUGUAGAUGCUUGCAUGGCAAUGCGCAUGGACACGGGUUCAACUCCCGUCACCUCCACUA